CUCUAUCUUCUUUUUUGUACCUGCCACAGAAAUAAUAAUUGCAUCUACAAAUUUGUUAUUAUUUUCCCAUUCCAUAGACAUGUUGCACGUCCCACCCACGAUCCAAUAGGACGGACAUCACAAUUCCUUUCCCUAGGGUCAAGUUAGGCCACUCAUGUUUGGACUUGGUUAGAAGAUGGCUUUGUCACAUUCCAAAUAUAACAAAAAUGAGGCUUUAUUAUUAUUCUGUGGGGGUAAAUAUGAAUGUUUU